rnacentral:lncRNA from 1 species
UUUUCAUGAUGUGAGGAUGAAAAUUGAGGAGCACUGCUGUAGCAACGCAAAAACAUGGAUUGCUGAAUUAAUUCACACUUAUUUUCGCAAUCAGUGGACUUUUAUUGCCUUACUAGCCGGCGUAUUUCUUCUUUGCUUAACUAUCCUCCAGACCUAUUAUACAAUGAAUCCCUAAGUAAAGGUGUGUGCCAAAUUCCAUUCUUCGAGUUUUAGUGGAGAUGCAUUUUGACUCUUCCAAACAAGAGAGGUUUGAUGCUUUUGAAUUCAUUUAAUAAUCUAUGUUCGUAUUAAUAGAUUUUAAAUCUAUCAAGAUAGUGUUAUAAAAAAUGUUUAUCUAAUGUCUGAGAUUGAAAACAAUGGUUGUAAGUUCUUGAAUUCUCAU